GGCUCAGGAUGAACGCUAGCGGCAGGCUUAACACAUGCAAGUCGAGGGGUAACAGGUUCCUUCGGGAAUGCUGACGACCGGCGCACGGGUGAGUAACGCGUAUGCAACCUUCCUGUAUCUGGAGGAUAGGCCUGGAAACGAGGAUAAUACUGCGUAACAUUAUAUUAUCGCAUGGUAAAAUAAUCAAAUCUACGGAGGAUACAGAUGGGCAUGCGUGCCAUUAGCUAGAUGGUAAGGUAAGGGCUUACCAUGGCGACGAUGGCUAGGGGUUCUGCAAGGAAGAUCCCCCACACUGGUACUGAGACACGGACCAGACUCCUACGGGAGGCAGCAGUGAGGAAUAUUGGUCAAUGGAGGCAACUCUGAACCAGCCAAGCCGCGUGAAGGAAGACUGUUCUAUGAAUUGUAAACUUCUUUUGUGACAGAGUAAAGAUAGCUACGCGUAGUUAUUUGCAAGUAUGUCAUGAAUAAGCAUCGGCUAACUCCGUGCCAGCAGCCGCGGUAAUACGGAGGAUGCAGGCGUUAUCCGGAUUUAUUAGGUUUAAAGGGUGUUCAGGCUGUCUGGUAAGUCAGAGGUGAAAGUCGGUUGCUUAACGAUCGAAUUGCCUUUGAAACUGUCAGACUUGAGUAUGGAUGCGGUAGGCGGAAUGUGUAGUGUAGCGGUGAAAUGCAUAGAUAUUACACAGAACACCGAUUGCGAAAGCAGCUUACCAAACCAGCACUGACGCUGAAGCACGAAAGCGUGGGUAGCGAACAGGAUUAGAUACCCUGGUAGUCCACGCAGUAAACGAUGCUCACUCGCUGUUGGCAAUAGAUCGUCAGCGGCUAAGGGAAACCGAUAAGUGAGCCACCUGGGGAGUACGAUCGCAAGAUUGAAACUCAAAGGAAUUGACGGGGGCCCGCACAAGCGGUGGAAAUGUGGUUAAUUCGAUGAUACGCGAGGAACCUUACCUGGGCUUAAAUGUACGAUGCAUAAGUGUGAAAGCACUUUUUCCUUCGGGACUUUGUACAAGGUGCUGCAUGGUGUCGUCAGCUCGUGCCGUGAG
rnacentral:rRNA from 1 species